rnacentral:lncRNA from 1 species
CUUAGUUUAAGGAAGAAGAAGAAGAAAUAAAAGACAGGUUUAGAAGAUUUUCGGGAAAAUUAAAUAUGGGGUGGGGACACUCUACAUUGAUGUUUUGGUCGGGAAGUGGUUGUUUGGGGAUCGCGAGGACACCGACAAUACUUCUACUCCAAAGGGUCUUGGAGUUAGAAGACCUGAGAGUCGUCCAGCUUUCUUCCGGCCCCCAAACGUGGCAAGAACCCACCCUUUGCAGCGCCAGGCACGGUGCCUCACUUUCUCCAUUUGCGGACUCCAGUUCCCAGGAUGCAGAGCUGCGGCCAAUCUCCAGGCUCUCUUUUCACCCCCCACCCCCCCUUGGCAAAGAUUGUCCCCCAGCCAAAGAAAGGAGUUCCAAGGGUCAGUGACUUUAGGGAACAGAAUUAAAAAGUGGCCAGAAUCCUAGCUUUACCACCCAGAAGGUAAAGGAGGCAGCUCCUGGGCCGUGGCGAAGAAGAGGGGGGCUUUAUUCCCACGUGUCUGCCCGGCGGCCAGCCUGGCGCAGUCGGGGUUAAUCUGCAGCGGAGGGAUCCCGGAGCGUGUGCGUAGAACUGCAGAGUCACAGCCUUUCCUCCAAGAGGGCUGUACCCCUCCGCCGCCCCGCUCCAACACAAAAUAGGGCCUCCUCUUCUCCUUUCUCCCCUUCUCGAGUGGGGUUCCCCAGGCAAAAGGGCCCCCUGGAUCUCGCGCCGGACGCUCCACGAGUCUCUACGAUCGCUGCCCAGCUCCAAGGCGAGGAAAGAGCCUCUUCGCAGGAACCACCCUACCGGCCGAGCAGGAGGCGGAGGGGGGAGGCGGAGCGGCGCCGCGCUGCACUACUUUCCUCUCCGGUUGCAAAUGGCUGCCUCGUUCCCCACUUUCCGCUCAGUUUCCUGACCCCCCGGCGCCGGGAGCCGGGGUUGGACCAUGCACCUCUAGACCCCCCGCGAUCAGUGCCUGCCGGGGGUCUAGGGGGUGCCGCUGACCACAGGCGGCCAGGCCGGGGGCGGGGCAGCUCCCGAGGCCAGAGGGGAAGGGAGCAGAAGGUGGGGGGCUCGAAGCCGCCGAGGGGGGACGCUCGGGGUCGC